AAGUUACUGCCUGUGUUCUCUUCUAGGAUUUUUAUGUUUUUGCUCUUCAAAGUCUUCGAACACAUGAAACAAUCCCCUACCCCAGAUUCUGGUCUUCUAUGAAAGUGAUUAAAAAUCAACCUCUGGGAAAUGCCUUGCUUUGGGCACUGGGCUUCCUGCCUGGGCUACUCUUGAUGCAGACCAAGCUGGUGUGAUGAACCAGAGAGGAAUUCCAAAGUUGGACUGCUACACCGGAGACCGUAUUGCUUCUCGGCACAGAAGCACUCAAUUGCCUAUUUGGUUCCUGGAACACCGAUCUGUAACUUCAAUGACGGGCAUGGAUGGGGAGUGGCUAAAAGAGUGCUAGAAAUUAUGGAUUUGUUCAUGACAGAAAAACUAGUGUGAUUAAUUGGUAUUUUCUGGAAUGGCUUUUUAGCAGUGGUUCCCUAACCUGAUCAGUACUCAGAAUUACAAGAGAAACUUAAAUACAAAGAUUUAGAUUCAGUGCUUCUUGGCUGGGUACUGUGAAUCUUUGAGCAGCCAUUUUGUGAACCACUGUUUUAUGGGGAUGGACACGGCCUAGCAUAAAUAAAACGACUUGGGGAAGAGAAAGCAGGUUGGUUGACAUGUGUUGGUAGAUCUCUUCCAGAGGUAGUAUACGGAGCAUGUUUUAUUCUACGUCUGAAAAGAAUUGAGAUUUAUUUACAUAAUAAUAGAACAGACAGACCUCUUUAUGUUUCAGAGCUUUUGUAGCUGAUUUUAUGUACCUUUGACAGUUCCAGAUGGCUGCAAAAUUUCAAAUUUCUCUUUAGGACCUCAAUAAAUUCUUUGAAACAUUGUGGGUGUGUGG